rnacentral:tRNA from 1 species
GGCUGGAUCACCUCCUUUCUAAGGAUUGAUCGAUUGUCUGACAGGAGCGACACGUUCUGACGCCUUAACCGGCCGACGACCGUGCCUGUCAGGCCAAACACAAAAACCAGACACAUCCGGCUUUCGACUGCUCAACUCUCCAACCUUUGCAUACAUAGCCUCUCCGGCGCAUCUCGCGCCGGAGAGGUUUUUUUUGUGGCACCCCGCUUGUGGCCGAGAGUGGAGUCCGAGAGUAGAAUCCGGCGACCGAAGCUCGUCUCCGUGAUUCAUGACGCAAACAUGCUGACCAACCUCAGAAUCCACAACUUCAAGCGGUUUCAGGAUGCCGACAUCGAGUCGGGACAGUCGGUCGUAUUAAUCGGCCCUAACAAUUCGGGCAAGACAACCGCAUUGCAGGCAUUCAUGGGAGGCAGACUCCCGGACGGUCAAGUCUCGCAGCGGAGCCUCUACUCCGCUGCGAGGCGCUUUCAUACCGUCGUCAGCCUACCCACCCGAACCUUCCUCGUAUACGACUCAGGGCCACUGGGCGACAUCCGCGCCUCGCACAAAUGGCUCUCCCCUACUGCCAAAGUGGACCUCAUUUGGCCGCCACUGACACCGGCACAGACCGGCGCCCGAACGCGCGUCUUUGAUGACUUGCCUCAACCGGGGACUUCGGCCAUAAAGGCCGAACUCUGCCAAGAAUUGUGGUCGUGGCCGUUCGUCGUCAGUUCGUCCCCUGCUUGACACCCGGGGGACCGUCGCAUAUUUUUGCACUACGGUUGGCCCCAUCGUCUAACCCGGUUAGGACACAGGGUUUUCAUCCCUGCAAUGCGGGUUCAAAUCCCGCUGGGGUCAUUUCAGUCUCUGCAAUCCAACCGCCGCGCUGCCGGUUUACCCAAAACCUGAGAACCAGGCCGUGAGGCGUGCGCAGCGGUCGAGUGACUGGACUGUUGUUCACAUUCCGAUUGUCGGGCGUCAUUGCCUCAACACGAACGUCUUCUCUUCCGGAAUGUGGCAUGGUCUGGCGAUUGCUGCUGCUGGCGUGCGCUCUGGAUUUCACGCCGGGUGAAAUCACUCGGGGAGCCGAUCGUGAGCCAACCGAGGGCCCGGUCGGGAUCGAGAAACGCAUCCCGUGGACGUCGUCGCGCGUCGUCGGGUCGCCUGAUCCGCCGCUGCCGUACCGAUCGGUGCGGGCCUUUCCGAGUUUGACGUUCAAGAAUCCACUCUACAUCAUUUCCGAGCCGCGGGCGUGACGCCGAGGCGGAUGUUUGUCGUCGAGCAGGCGGGCAUGAUCCGGGCAUUUACCCCCGACCCUGCGGCCGAAUCGACCGAGACGUUUCUGAAGCUCGACGACCGAGACACCUACGGGAUGACGUUUCAUCCGCGCUACGCCGAGAACCGGCUGGUGUUUGUCUUCAGCAACGGCCCGAACUCGAAGGCCGAACACAAGCAGAACCGGAUCUCGCGAUUCACAGUCCGCCGCGAGGCUCCAUUCGAUUGCGAUCCCGCAGCGAGCAGGUGAUCAUCGAGUACGAGUCGAACGGACACAACGGCGGCGAUCUGGCGUUCGCCGUGACGGCAUGCUGUUUAUAUCGUCGGGAGAUGGCACGUCCGAUUCCGAUACGAAUCUGACCGGACAGAAAAUCAGCGACCUCGUUUCCGGGAUGCUUCGCCUCGACGUCGAACAACCCGAUCCCGGCAAGGGGUAUGCGGUCCCGAAAGACAAUCCGUUCCUCGACGUGCCCGGCGCCCGGGGCGAAUUGUGGGCCUACGGAUUCCGCAAUCCCUGGCGUAUACAUAUCGAUCCUGAUGGCCAUCUCUGGUGCGGCGACAUCGGCCAGGACCAGUGGGAAAUGAUCGAAAUCGUCCGCCGCGGAGAUAAUUACGGCUGGAGCGUCGUCGAAGGGGGACAUCCGUUCUACCUCGACCGGGAAAAGGGACCGCAUCCGAUUGUCAAACCGGCGAUCGCCCAUCCACACGCGGAAGCGCGCUCGAUCACCGGCGGCGUCACGUAUCUGGGAUCGAGGUUUCCCGAGCUCUUCGGCGCCUAUGUGUACGGCGACUACGGCACUGGAAAGAUCUGGCGAGCGCGGUUUGACGGCGCAGAAAUCAGAGAUCAUCGCGAGAUCGCCGACACUCCCUACCAGAUCCUGGGUUUUGGCCUCGAUCCGGCCGGAGAGAUUUAUUUCGUCGACUAUGCCGGCCCGAUCUACGGCUUGGAGCGGGUUCCGCCGGAGUCGACACCGCCGCCGCCAUUCCCCCGCAAGCUGAGUGAAACGGGGCUGUUUCUAGAUAUUUCGAAGCACAUUACCCUUCCGGCGCUGAUCCCGUAUUCGGUCAAUUCGCCCCUCUGGUCCGACCAGGCGCACAAAGAACGAUUCAUCGCGCUUCCUGAUCAGUCGCAGAUCGAAUUCGCAGACGAAGGCGCUU